GUCUGCGGCCAUGCCCCCCUGACCAAGCCCGAUGUCUGAUCUUGGAAGCUAAGCAGGAUCGAGCCUGGUUAGUACUUGGAAGGGAGACCACUAGAAGACCAGGUGCUGCAGCUG
rnacentral:rRNA from 1 species